ensembl:snRNA U1 U1 spliceosomal RNA
AUACUCACCUGGCAGGGGAGAUGCCAUGACUGUGAAGGUGGUUUUCCUUGGGUGAGGUUCAUCCGCUGCCCUCAGAUGUGCUGACUCCUGCAACUUCCCCAGUUGCAGGAAACUCCACUGCACAACUGUGGUGGGGGGACCUGUGUUUGUGCUUUCCCCAG